rnacentral:lncRNA from 1 species
GGAUAGGGCACUGGUCAGAGUUGCAAGAAUCUCUUUCUUAUUAGAUUUCUUGGUCUAAUAAGAAAUCAUCAGUGAGGAAAGGCCAUCCAUACAGUAUCUCAGAAGGGCUUAGACCUAACUUUGAAGGGGUGUUUAUUACUCACUGUAAAGCCAUGGAAAGAAGGAUAACCCAAGGAAGAAUCCUGCCCUGCAACUUGCAGGUGGAGGGGCUUGCAGGAUGCUAUUUGGAAGGCUGCAGCUUGUCUCACUUUGUUCUUUUUGUCCUAUUGAGUUGACUCAGCAUGGCAGCCCUUUGAAGACAGUGAGAGCUCUCUGUUUGUAUUCCCUCCAAAGAGAUGCACACUUACUGAAGGCUCAGCAGAGAAUGUAGAAAUCAGACUCCUCGGCCAAGCAAGCCAGUUCCCAUGGAAAGCUGUGUGAGGCAAGGUUCUCAUAGGUGCCUUCGUGUUUUUACAUUUUGAUCCUCUACAUCUUUUUAUGUUAAAUCACAAUUUUAAAAGUAGAUCUAAACUAUACUUAAAUGCAAAUAUUGAGAGGAUGGGAUGCCUGACUAGUAGGACCCAUGGAGAUCUGAUAUUCUUAUUGCUGCAUUUUAUCUUUGUGGUGAUUCUGGCACUAAAUGGAAAAUAAAA